CCUACGGGUGGCAGCAGUGAGGAAUAUUGGUCAAUGGGCGUAAGCCUGAACCAGCCAAGUCGCGUGAGGGAUGAAGGUUCUAUGGAUCGUAAACCUCUUUUAUAAGGGAAUAAAGUGUGGGACGUGUCCUAUUUUGUAUGUACCUUAUGAAUAAGGAUCGGCUAACUCCGUGCCAGCAGCCGCGGUAAUACGGAGGUUCCGAGCGUUAUCCGGAUUUAUUGGGUUUAAAGGGUGCGUAGGCGGCCUGUUAAGUCAGCGGGGAAAGUCUGCGGCUCAACCCUAGAAUUGCAGUUGAAACUGGCAGUCUUGAGUAUGGUAGAGGUGAGCGGAAUUCGUGGUGUAGCGGUGAAAUGCUUAGAUAUCAGGAAGAACACCGAUGGCGAAGGCAGAUGAC
rnacentral:rRNA from 1 species